ACUCUCGACAACGGAUAUCUCGGCUCUCGCAUCGAUGAAGAACGUAGCGAAAUGCGAUACUUGGUGUGAAUUGCAGAAUCCCGUGAACCAUCGAGUCUUUGAACGCAAGUUGCGCCCGAAGCCACUUGGCUGAGGGCACGCCUGCCUGGGUGUCACGC
rnacentral:rRNA from 2 species